CUUUCAGCAACGGAUCUCUUGGCUCCGGCAUCGAUGAAGAACGCAGCGAAACGCGACAGGUAAUGUGAAUUGCAGAAUCCAGUGAACCAUCGAAUCUUUGAACGCACAUUGCGCCCCCUGGCAUCCCGGGGGGCAUGCCCGUCCGAGCGUC
rnacentral:rRNA from 1 species